UCAAAGCUUAUCUAAAACCUUAUUAAUCCCAUCUUUAACACCAAACCCUUUAAUAGUAAUCGAGUAAUUCUAUAACUUUAUAGAAAAUUUAUAUGUUAAAACUAGUAACAAGAAGAAGAACUUCUCUUAAAUGCAAGCGUAAGUCAUUAUGGACAUCCCACUGACACUUAACAUCUAUGAGCCGACAGUAGAAACACAACAAGAAAAUUCUACUUAAUGUAAUGUUAAUCUAACACCAGGACAUUAAAAGAAAGAUUAAAAGAAAAAGAAGGAACUCGGCAAACUUUAACCUCGCCUGUUUACCAAAAACAACGCCUCUUGCAAAUAUAAGAGGUCCAGCCUGCCCAGUGACUUUGUUCAACGGCCGCGGUAUCCUGACCGUGCGAAGGUAGCGUAAUCACUUGUUCUUUAAAUGAGGACUAGUAUGAAUGGCACCACGAAGGUUAUACUGUCUCCUUUAUCCAAUCAGUGAAACUAAUCUCCCCGUGAAGAAGCGGGGAUGUUUAUAUAAGACGAGAAGACCCUAUGGAGCUUUAAACACAAUAACAUUUGCGCCAGCGAGCUUAAAAUCACACCCGCCCUGCAUUAUGAUUAUUAGUUUUAGGUUGGGGUGACCACGGAGUAAAAUUUAACCUCCACAUUGAACUGAAAACUUUUUAACAAAGAAAAACACUUCUAUGUAUCAAUAAAUUGACAUUCAUUGACCCAAUAAUUUGAUCAACGAACCAAGUUACCCUAGGGAUAACAGCGCAAUCCUCUUUGAGAGUCCAUAUCGACAAGAGGGUUUACGACCUCGAUGUUGGAUCAAGGUAUCCAAGUGGUGCAGCAGCUACUAAAGGUUCGUUUGUUCAACGAUUAAAAC
rnacentral:rRNA from 1 species